UAGCCAUAUCACAUUGGAACACCAGUUCCUGUAUGAUCACUGAAGUUAAGCAACAUUGAACCUGGUCAGUACCUAGAUGGGUGACCACUUGGAAAUACCAGGUGCUGUAAG